GACGAACGCUGGCGGCGUGCUUAACACAUGCAAGUCGAACGGAAAGGCCCUGCUUUUGUGGGGUGCUCGAGUGGCGAACGGGUGAGUAACACGUGAGUAACCUGCCCUUGACUUUGGGAUAACUUCAGGAAACUGGGGCUAAUACCGGAUAGGAGCUCCUGCUGCAUGGUGGGGGUUGGAAAGUUUCGGCGGGUGGGGAUGGACUCGCGGCUUAUCAGCUUGUUGGUGGGGUAGUGGCUUACCAAGGCUUUGACGGGUAGCCGGCCUGAGAGGGUGACCGGCCACAUUGGGACUGAGAUACGGCCCAGACUCCUACGGGAGGCAGCAGUGGGGAAUAUUGCACAAUGGGCGGAAGCCUGAUGCAGCAACGCCGCGUGCGGGAUGCCGGCCUUCGGGUUGUAAACCGCUUUCGCCUGUGACGAAGCGUGAGUGACGGUAAUGGGUAAAGAAGCACCGGCUAACUACGUG
rnacentral:rRNA from 1 species